AUGUGGUUUAAUUCGAUGAUACGCGAGGAACCUUACCUGGGCUCGAACGUAAGAUGACUGUAGGUGAAAGCUUACAUCUCUUCGGAGCAUUUUACGAGGUGCUGCAUGGUUGUCGUCAGCUCGUGCCGUGAGGUGUCGGGUUAAGUCCCAUAACGAGCGCAACCCCUACCUUUAGUUGCCAUCAGGUUAAGCUGGGGACUCUAAAGGAACUGCCUACGCAAGUAGUGAGGAAGGCGGGGAUGACGUCAAAUCAGCACGGCCCUUACGUCCAGGGCUACACACGUGCUACAAUGGCCGAUACAGAGGGCAGCUACCUGGUGACAGGAUGCAAAUCUCCAAAGUCGGUCUCAGUUCGGAUCGGAGUCUGCAACCCGACUCCGUGAAGUUGGAUCCGCUAGUAAUCGCGCAUCAGCCAUGGCGCGGUGAAUACGUUCCCGGGCCUU
rnacentral:rRNA from 1 species